GAUUCUGUGGAUUUGAAGGAUCUGCUCCAAUAUUUGCGAGACAGGCAGCAGGAGCAGGGACGGUCUGAUGCCCCCCAAAGCUCCCAGGAAUCUGCCCAGAUGCCCCAUGAGUGCUCCCCUUUUGCAGCACAAGAGGCAGAAGUCUGUCUCCAUGGCCUUUGUGAGCUGUCAGCGUUCCACCCGAGAAAAGGC